rnacentral:rRNA from 1 species
UACAGAGGUCUCAAGCGUUGUUCGGAAUUACUGGGCGUAAAGGGCGCGUAGGCGGCGACUCAAGUUAGAUGUGAAAGUCCUGGGCUUAACCUGGGGACUGCAUUUGAUACUGGGUUGCUUGAAUUCGGGAGAGGAUAGCGGAAUUCCCAGUGUAGAGGUGAAAUUCGUAGAUAUUGGGAAGAACACCGGUGGCGAAGGCGGCCCACUGGAUCGGUACUGACGCUGAGGUGCGAAAGCGUGGGGAGCAAACAGG